rnacentral:rRNA from 1 species
UGUCCUACGGGACGCAGCAGUGGGGAAUAUUGCACAAUGGGCGAAAGCCUGAUGCAGCGACGCCGCGUGAAGGAUGAAGUAUUUCGGUAUGUAAACUUCUAUCAGCAGGGAAGAAAAUGACGGUACCUGACUAAGAAGCCCCGGCUAACUACGUGCCAGCAGCCGCGGUAAUACGUAGGGGGCAAGCGUUAUCCGGAUUUACUGGGUGUAAAGGGCGUGUAGGCGGGGAAGCAAGUCGGAUGUGAAAACCACGGGCUCAACCUGUGGCC